UGCGCAAUGGGACUGCUCGACUAUUUUCAACGAAAUAAUGACAGUUCCACUCCCAAAAUCUCACCCGCGACGGCGUUGUGUCUUUAGAAUCGAUUUUAUUUGUGUUUUUGUCGACGUUUAUGGCGACACUUUGUUCACAGCGCUUCGUCUGAAGUUGUCCAGACGGUGGGAAUCUUCGGGUCGGUGACGGCUGUCGUGUGUCGGCGACGUGACGGGACUCGGCUUCGUGAUUUGCGGGCAAUUCCGCGUCUUAUUCGUCUCGUUUUGAUCGCUCACUUCCACAGUAUUUACCCUUCUCUGUGUUGAAUGAAUGGGCCCUCAGUGCGCAUGCGCGCAGGAUCCCAAAGUUUAUAAACAAGACGCAGUCACAUGACGAGAUAAUUACGAACCCGAUCGGAGUGAAACGUGUCGUUUUUAUUGUGUAACAAUUCAGAUCGGGAGCAUUUCGCCUUGUUAAAGCAACAUUUUAUGGUCAGACGCUGAGGGGAGGCAGAGGAAACUAACCUUGGUGCUGCUGUGAUGUAAUGGAGUAAACUCCUGCGUUACCCCAUGUCACCCCGACCAUUUAUAGCCUAUACAUUACAGCUGACUGACAGCAGGGUUGAGUUUCUGUGUGUCAGGGUGAGGGUGGGUGACACCACACGAGCAGAUGCACAGUGACUUGGACAUCAUGGUGUGGGAGGUGGUGACUCCACCUGUGCAGUCAAACAAGCCUCAGGGUGUCAGCAUGCAGGAGCCUGAGCCUCAGUCUGAUCACACAGAAGUGAUGAUGGAUGCAGAUGGACACCAACCACAUGACCCGCUCCGCUGUGACGAACACUUCCCCUCCUCGCCCGGCUUCCCCACCAGUGACACUUACAUGGAAUAUGAUGACCUCCCGGAUCUCCAGGAGGUUCGGGAGGAAGCCGAGUCGAUGGGAGUAGCCGUCUACCAGGUGGAGGUGGGCGUGUCCCACCAGGAGCGACGCGCUCGCAGCCCGCCGCCUCCGGACACGCACUGGCUGACUCAGCUGGCUCACAUCGCCACCGGACCUCAGAGUCCGCUGCUGCAGGAGUCUCCUCACAGCUCCUCUUCAUUCUGCAUCCAGAACAGCAGUCGAGAUCUACAUUCCUACGCUCGUCCUCCUCCUCCUCCUCCUCCUCCUGCUGCUCCUCUUCCCGGCAGCAGUGUGUCGUCAGCCAGAGGUCACGGCAGGGAGCGCCGGCGCAGCAGGAGGAGCAGUGAAUGUGGCUCGGCAGUGUCGGUCAGAUCCUCCCUGUCUGAUGAGGAAGACAUGGGCUGGAGCUUCUCCUGCCCUCCCACCGCAUGGCACUGCUUUCUCAAAGGAACUCGCCUGCGUUUCCACAGCGGGUCGAACGUCAAGUGGCAGGACGUGGAAUCUGUUGAGGAAGACUCUGGCGGUGAAGAGCAGUCCAGACCUCUAAAGAGUUACGCCUCUGAAGGGCUGAAGCUGCUGGAGCACGCGGAAAUCGUGCUGUCCGGUCAGGCCGCCCUCCAGUUGACCUUUGACCCCGGGGCGUUCGGCAGCAGCCUCCUGACCGCCCGCUGCCAGCUCGACCAUCCCUUCUACGUCAGGAACAAAGGGUGGUCGUCUUUCUACCCCAGCUUGACCGUGGUGCAUUAUGGGAUACCGUGCUACGAAAUGGAAGUGGGAGACGUGUGCCUUCCUCCGGGACACAGAGAUGCCAAGCAGACGGACGACUCGCUGGUCUUCGACACGUUCAAGAGUUACGACUUCACUCCUCUGGACUCGUCGGCGGUUUACGUGCUGAGCAGCAUGGCCAGACGGCGGCGGGCGUCCCAGUCCAGCGGGGGAGCCGCCUCUCCAGACAGAGACACGCUACGAGACACACACAGUCCCAGCCAUUCCCGCGCCUCUCCCAGCAAGUCCACCAAAAGCCCGCAGCCCGGCGUCCAGGCGGCCAGCGGCGCCACGCCCGCCAAGUGCAAGAGGCCCAUGAACGCCUUCAUGCUGUUCGCCAAGAAGUUCCGGGUGGAGUACACGCAGAUGUACCCGGGGAAAGACAACAGAGCGAUCAGCGUCCUGCUCGGUGAGCGGUGGAAGAAAAUGCGAAGCGAGGAGCGGCGCACUUUCACGCUACAGGCCAAAGCGCUGGCAGAGGAGCAGAAGAGACUCAACCCCGACUGCUGGAAACGCAAGAGAACCAACUCUGGCUGCCAGGGAAAUUAGAAGAAAAGAGGACGACUGACUGCGCCUGUAGGAGUGCAAACACACACUUACACACACACGCACGUGCCGAAGCCACACAAAAAUCUAUGCAUCUUGUAAUACCGCACCUCAGUGCGACUUCAUGUGUCGUCCCAGACGUGCGCGAUUCACGUCGGCGCUUUCCAAAAAGGAAUUCUAACGAGGCGUCAGACCCGACCUUCCAGAGCGACGAUACAGACACAAAACACGGAGAUCCUGACGGACGUCGGUUUCUCCCCGGAUGCUUGACGCCGGCGGACGUCGUGGUGCUGUAGCGUUUUAGCCAAAGUAGGAAAUGUAGCUAUUUUCCCAAAAUUCUAUAUGAAAUACACAACUUAUUUUAUUGCCUGUAUUACUUGUAUUUGGACUCAGUGUUAUUGCACAGAAGAUGAUAUAUAUUUUAACUUUGCUUUUUAUGUAUAAUGUAGUUUAGUAAAUAAUCUUCGGGGCCGCGGUUUUCCUCACGUCAGCCUUUAUUUCUCCCAGUUCCUUUAAUUUCUUCACCUGGUCGAAGGUGGUCUGUGAAUUUUUCAUGCUAGAGUUAAAUAUAUCGAUUGAAUUAUUAUUUGUAUUGAUCAAGUACGAUCAGCUAAACAGAGCAUAUUUAGAAUUUAGCAUUUUAGCUUCGAUUACAGCUCGUGCCAUUGAAUCAAAGCACCAAGAUAUAAACAGAGCUUAACGUGGACGUGAAGACGGAAACAUGUUACAUGACGGAAGCAUCGUAGGAUCCAGAGCAGACUCAGGAAACUGCGCAGUUCUUGUAUAUCGAGGGCAGCACUGCUCUUUAAACCUGCCCAUCAGCAGCAGAGCGAGGGAUCAAGGCGAUUUCAAACCCAGGACUUUUAUUCUGGAGCGUCCUCAGAGUGUGUGUGUGUGUGUGUGUGUGUGUCUGUGGGAACUGUUGAAGCAGGUGUGUGCAGAUGUGUUUUUUUUAUCCCCUCCUCAUAAUCUCACUGCUUAACGAGGUUUUAUCCUUAAUGCACUAUAUACACUUUAUCUCGCUCCAGUGUCAUGAUUAUUAAGAAUCUAUAGAAAAUAUCUUUUUUUUUUUUUUUUGGUUUUCAUGCUUUUGGAUUAUUUGUCUUGUCAAUCAAUGCAAUCCAGUGUAACUGUAGUUAAAAAAAAAAAACCCAAUAAAACGCAUGAGAAACGUG